rnacentral:sRNA from 1 species
GCUCCAUAAUCACUCGUUGCAACGUAUAUAAUAAUGAAACCGUAUAAAAGCUAUUGCAAGCAGUCUCAUCAAAAACUACAGGCUAGCAGAUCAGGUUGAAAUUGGAAAAACAGAACCAUGAAACAAAUAUUUGUAAUUUUAUGCAUAUUUGUCGUUUGUUAUAAUUUCGGACUUGUAAAGGCGAGACCAAGUCCGGAAGAUGAAAGUGACGUUUCCAUUGACAUUUCGGAAGAUGCAGCCAACAAUGAAACUGAAGUAGACGAUGUAGCCGCUACUGAGGAUCCUGAAACAGAAGAUGCAGCCAACAAUGAAACACAAUCGGUAAGUCAAAACG